rnacentral:rRNA from 1 species
GACGAACGCUGGCGGCGUGCCUAAUACAUGCAAGUCGAACGAGUGGCGGACGGGUGAGUAAUGUCUGGGAAACUGCCUGAUGGAGGGGGAUAACUACUGGAAACGGUAGCUAAUACCGCAUACCAUCGGAUGUGCCCAGCUGGGAUUAGCUAGUAGGUGGGGUAAAGGCUCACCUAGGCGACGAUCCCUAGCUGGUCUGAGAGGAUGACCAGCCAAACUGGAACGAAGACACGGUCCAGACUCCUACGGGAGGAAGCAGUGGGGAAUAUUGCACAAUGGGCGCAAGCCUGAGGCAGCCAUGCCGCGUGUAUGAAGAAGGCCUUCGGGUUGUAAAGUACUUUCAGCGGGGAGACGUUACCCGCAGAAGAAGCAACGGCUAUCUCCGUGCCAGCAGCCGCGGUAAUAC